UCACUCACUCUACUUUUUUCCCCAAUUUCAAAAUCUGAGUGCGAGUUCUCAAAAGAUAAAUGUCUUUUGGUUUUUGUUUUCAUUUUCAUUUCACCUUCCCCAUCAUCACAUGUGCUCCAAUCGCUCGUCGGCUAUUGCUCGUCGGCUAUUGCUGGUCUCCCAGUUCUACAACAACCGUCGUUUUUCGCUAAAUUUCCCAACCACUCAGCUUCCCAGAAUCACUUGUAGCCACUCCGCUUUCGAAGUAUGCUCUUCUCCAGUUACUCUACGGCCUUUGCUUUACCACUCUACGACUAUGUUUGACAUCAACUACGCGUCGCAUAGAAGUUUCGUUUUUGCACUUUGUACACCCAGAAUGUAUGUACCUGCUUAAUCUGUUAUAUUCCUCAUUCUGUCGUGAUGUGCUAUGUUGGAAGGUUAAUGAUUUGCAAUUUAGACUUACUGUGAAUCUAACGAAUCAAGAAUGAACUCUUAAGCUGCUUCUCCUGGAUUCUGGAUGCCAUGUUAGAGAUUUAUCCAUAAAGUUGCAUGGUGGAGUAGCUUGGCUUUACCAAGUGCUAGUAGAUGUUUUUGCAGGAAGUAUAGCAUCUGGAGUUGAAGAGGCAGUUUCUGAUCAAAUAAAUGAGGGGAUAUCAACUCUUGAUGUUUUAUUACAAUCUCUUCCAAAGACUUUCCCAAUAGACGAAACAACUGCUCUAAAUGUUUCUUUCGUGAACAAUCCUGAGCUAAGUGAUUCUGCUAUUUAAUUAGAAAUUAAUGGUUUAUUGAUAGGAAGGAAUGAAAUUUUGUCACCUCAAGGUUACCGCAGAGGUUCAAACUUUUCUGUUUCUCGUGACAACCCUUCGCCAAAGAUGAUAACAAUUUCAUUACAUGAAAAUGUUUUCAAAUUCGGUUCCUUGGUUUACUUCACUGUAUGUUUAUGGAGUCUUUUACUUCUUUUAUUCUUGGCUUUAUUCAAUAAAUGGAUAUUAUAAACUGAGAUAUAGUUUUUGAUGGUUUAUGUUGUUCUUGUGCUCACUCAGGCAGAUACUUUGAAAUGGACUGUUGAUGAACUGCCUGAUGUAUGCAGCAUUUUCCAUCAUCUGGCUUUGGGUUAUACUGUUUUAUGCAGCAUUUUGAUGGAUGUUAAAUGUUUGGAACACUUUUUUUCUGAAUGACUUGCUUGAAUUCCCUAUUGGACAUUAUAUUUUCUUCUAUUGCUCUGUUACACAUGCCUUGUUGAUUUUCAUCUCUAAAUGAUGCAAACUGUCAUGAGCUAUGGAUAAAAGGUUAUUGACCUUUGUUAGAUAGUCCUUGAUUAGGCUCAUGGAAAAUUGAUGCACGGUAUAGAUUGUAAUUGGUAUUUGUGCUUUCCUCUUAAAUCAGAAAACAGUUCAACCUUCUACUGAAGUAAUGUUGAAGUCAAUCUUUCUUAGUGUUUAUCAGAAAUAGAGAUACCUUAGGAGUGACCUUACACUUCCUUUGAUGAAUUAAAAGAAUGAUAAUUUUAUACUAAUUAUUAUUUUAGUUAUAAAUUACAUUUUUUUUUCUUUUUUCAUAAUGUAUGAAGCAUUGCGUAAAUAUUUGGUUUUUUAUUAUUUGUUUGUUGGUUUUAUUGCUGGUAAUUUUUUACCUGGAUUUUCUUGCUUUAGUUUUUUGUUACAAGAUAUAGAUAUGUCAGAUGUUUCAAGAUAGAGGAGAAUAGUAUAUGGGAAUCUGAACUUUACUGGUUGCAGGAUUUGGACACAGGCCAUCUGCCAUGGGUGCUCCAAAGCAUGAUGGGUUGGAUUUUGCACAUGGUUUUAAAGCUUGGCCUCUUAAUAAGAAGCAAGCUAUUGAUGCAAAUGAGUUCGAGUCUUUUUUAGUACAAGACAAUCAUUUGGUGGAAGUAAUAUUUAGAGAGCUUAUGAAAUUUUUUUAGGAUAAAAUUAUAUCAAGUUUAUUAUGAAUUUUGAUUAUUUAUUGAUUAAGUUGUAAGGACGAGUUUUAUUUUAAUUUGAUUUUAUGUUACUAUGAUGAUUUUGACAAUGAAAUUAUAUAAAUUUGUGAUGUCUUUGAUACAUUAAUAUGAUUGAA